rnacentral:rRNA from 1 species
AUGACAGUCCUGGCCUUUGGAGCCGCCGCUACCUGGCCGGAGGCCGUCGUCCAGUGCCUCCUCUUCGUCCUCGCCGCGGGUAUGCUCGUGGCCCUCCACUCCCUCCCCCGCCGAGUUGCCCAUCGUCUCCGCCGCGGCGCCAGCGGCUCCUCGGCCGCUCAAUCGCGCCGGCACUUCGCGCUGGGUGCCCAGCUCCUCGCCCGCGCGCGAGCCGCUGCUCCGAAGCCCCCGGGCCCGCUCGCCCGCGCGGCCCUCGCCGAGGCCGACCGCGCCAUCGCGCUCGACCCCCGCGACGCAGCGCCGCUGAUCCUCAAGGCCCUCGCCCUCGACCUCCAGGGUCACCGCCUCCCCGCGCUGCGCACCCUCGACGUCGCCCUGGCGCCGCCGCUCGCGCGAUCCCUGGAACCGCGGGAGCGCGGGGACGCGCUCGCCAAGCGCGCCGAGAUCGCGCUAGCGCUUAACCGCCGCCGCCGCCUCGAUCAGGCCGCCGCAGAUCUCACCGAGGCCGUCCGCCUUAGCCCCGAGAACCCCCGCGCUCAUGCUCUGCUUGGCGAGUGCUACGAGAGGAAGGGCCUCACUGCCGAAGCCAGGAACUCCUUCAAGACCGCCGCGUCAAUCGACCCAUCUCUGGCUACUGCGCACGACGGCCUCCGUCGGACAGGCGCAGGCAGCGAAGUCAACGAGAGUGACUGA